UGCCCAGACUCCUACGGGAGGCAGCAGUGGGGAAUAUUGCACAAUGGGGGAAACCCUGAUGCAGCGACGCCGCGUGAGUGAAGAAGUAUUUCGGUAUGUAAAGCUCUAUCAGCAGGGAAGAUAAUGACGGUACCUGAGUAAGAAGCCCCGGCUAACUACGUGCCAGCAGCCGCGGUAAUACGUAGGGGGCAAGCGUUAUCCGGAUUUACUGGGUGUAAAGGGAGCGUAGACGGCAUGGCAAGUCUGAAGUGAAAGCCCGGGGCUCAACCGCGGGACUGCUUUGGAGACUGUUCAGCUAGAGUGCAGGAGAGGUAAGUGGAAUUCCUAGUGUAGCGGUGAAAUGCGUAGAUAUUAGGAGGAACACCAGUGGCGAAGGCGGCUUACUGGACUGUAACUGACGUUGAGGCUCGAAAGCGUGGGGAGCAAACAGGAUUAGAUACCCGGGUAC
rnacentral:rRNA from 1 species